AAAAUUUUUACAAAUUUUUUUCAGAAAUUAAAAGAUGUCAUAUCGACCUUCAGCAAAUCAUCAGACACAACUUUGAGAGCAGCUUUCCAACGCCAAAAGAAAAAAUUCUUCAAGCAAACAACCCGCAUUAAAACCC